CACAACCUCUUCUUCUUCGCAUCUCCUGGUCGACACCAACGAUUCCAGAAGAUGGUUUUUGUUUUCUGCUCUCGAAGAGAGACAGAGGUCCACCCCGACGUUUGUUCUGCCCCGGCGCGUUUUCUUGGACGAGACUCUGGGAAAGGGGGCC
rnacentral:ribozyme from 1 species